GACGAACGCUGGCGGCGUGCUUAACACAUGCAAGUCGAACGAUGAAACCUAGCUUGCUAGGUCGAUUAGUGGCGAACGGGUGAGUAACACGUGACUAACCUGCCCCUUUCUCUGGGAUAACGCCUCGAAAGGAGAGCUAAUACCGGAUACUCACAUCGAGGCACAUGCCUUGAUGUGGAAAGUUUUUCGGAAAGGGAUGAGGGCGCGGCCUAUCAGCUUGUUGGUGAGGUAACGGCUCACCAAGGCGAGGACGGGUAGCCGGCCUGGGAGGGGGACCGGCCACACUGGGACUGGGACACGGCCCAGACGCCUACGGGAGGCAGCAGUGGGGAAUAUUGCACAAUGGGCGCAAGCCUGAUGCAGCGACGCCGCGUGAGGGAUGAAGGUCUUCGGAUUGUAAACCUCUUUCAGUAGGGACGAAGCGAAAGUGACGGUACCUAAAGAAGAAGCACCGGCUAACUACGUGCCAGCAGCCGCCGUAA
rnacentral:rRNA from 1 species